GGGGAAUAUUGCACAAUGGAGGAAACUCUGAUGCAGCGACGCCGCGUGAACGAUGAAGGCUUUCGGGUCGUAAAGUUCUGUCCUAGGGGACGAUUAUGACGGUACCCUAGGAGGAAGCCCCGGCUAACUACGUGCCAGCAGCCGCGGUAAUACGUAGGGGGCGAGCGUUGUCCGGAUUUAUUGGGCGUAAAGGGUUCGCAGGCGGCCUUUUAAGUCAGAUGUGAAAGCCCACGGCUCAACCGUGGUAAGCAUUUGAAACUGGAAGGCUUGAGUUAAGGAGAGGAAAGUGGAAUUCCUAGUGUAGCGGUGAAAUGCGUAGAUAUUAGGAGGAAUACCAGUGGCGAAGGCGACUUUCUGGACUUAUACUGACGCUGAGGAACGAAAGCGUGGGGAGCAAAC
rnacentral:rRNA from 1 species